CAUGGCUCAGGACGAACGCUGGCGGCGUGCUAAUACAUGCAAGUCGAGCGGACAGAAGGGAGCUUGCUCCCGGAUGUUAGCGGCGGACGGGUGAGUAACACGUGGGUAACCUGCCUGUAAGACUGGGAUAACUCCGGGAAACCGGAGCUAAUACCGGAUAGUUCCUUGAACCGCAUGGUUCAAGGAUGAAAGACGGUUUCGGCUGUCACUUACAGAUGGACCCGCGGCGCAUUAGCUAGUUGGUGAGGUAAUGGCUCACCAAGGCGACGAUGCGUAGCCGACCUGAGAGGGUGAUCGGCCACACUGGGACUGAGACACGGCCCAGACUCCUACGGGAGGCAGCAGUAGGGAAUCUUCCGCAAUGGACGAAAGUCUGACGGAGCAACGCCGCGUGAGUGAUGAAGGUUUUCGGAUCGUAAAGCUCUGUUGUUAGGGAAGAACAAGUGCGAGAGUAACUGCUCGCACCUUGACGGUACCUAACCAGAAAGCCACGGCUAACUACGUGCCAGCAGCCGCGGUAAUACGUAGGUGGCAAGCGUUGUCCGGAAUUAUUGGGCGUAAAGGGCUCGCAGGCGGUUUCUUAAGUCUGAUGUGAAAGCCCCCGGCUCAACCGGGGAGGGUCAUUGGAAACUGGGAAACUUGAGUGCAGAAGAGGAGAGUGGAAUUCCACGUGUAGCGGUGAAAUGCGUAGAGAUGUGGAGGAACACCAGUGGCGAAGGCGACUCUCUGGUCUGUAACUGACGCUGAGGAGCGAAAGCGUGGGGAGCGAACAGGAUUAGAUACCCUGGUAGUCCACGCCGUAAACGAUGAUUGCUAAGUGUUAGGGGGUUUCCGCCCCUUAGUGCUGCAGCUAAC
rnacentral:rRNA from 1 species